GGAGGAGGGCCAUAGACGAGGGUCAAGUGUGGAAGGGUUGAACCUGUCACCUUCUGAGCCAGUCACCAUCCCCAAGACCCUAAUGUGAUUCCUCAUAGCUUCAGCUCAUGAAUUCAGAGUGGUAUGUCCCUCAUGCGGCACUCAAUGUCAGCUAUGUGAAGAUGGUCCUAUCUAGCGAACCCUGUUUCUGGAACUCGUGGCUGAAUAGGUAUACCAUAGUAAAGGUUGUGAUGGCUGGAGUCCAAGAUCAUCAUGCCCGAGACCACACAGAUGAGGAGAGAUAACAGUUGUCUCUCUCUGUGAGCCUCUCUCACACAGCCUGCCAUGUUUCUAUACAAGUAGCAGGAGCAGGGAGGGAUGUGGUGGGGGGAAGCCACCUGCGGCCGUGACAUCACCGCUGUAGAGGCCAGGCCCAAAGGCUCCGUGGGCCCCCGCCUGUCUUAUCGCGUAUCAUGUAUCACCUGCAGUUCAACGUCAAGCCCAAAGAGACAGAUUUCAUCUGUCAUCUCUGAGAGGAUCUCAAUAUAAUUCAGUCCAACCGAUCUGACAACCAUGCCGGCCGGGGAGUGGAGAGAGGAGAGAA